CGCACCGUCUAUUCGUGCAGGUCGGGCUGUUGAGUGAUCAGCAGCUGUCCGCUCGGUCCAUUCGCGCACCUCACAGUUGCGUAUUGAUCAGACAAGAAGACACGCUUAUCAACUCCAGUGUUUCCCCUAUAACAGGGUGAAAUCCCCCCCCCGCAAACAAUUCUCGGCUCGCGCGACAGAGCGAUGUGCGCGCCGGCAUCGAAGCUCUGCCGUGAUGCGCGCACACGGGUGAGCACCGCGUAUUCGGUCCCAUCCCCUACAACAUGAAGCAUCGGCUACUUUAGAAAACAUGGCAGGAUGCAAGUUCAACAACGGCUUGAAAAGAACGAGUGUUUCUGGUCACGGUGGGUGAAAUGCUUCUGAAGCUGCGUUAUGUGUCGCGAGACUUUCCAGCGGUGGAAUCUCACGAGCAGAGCAAGAAGCACAGAGACUAGCGAAGGCCGCCAGCAGCCCGCGGGGCUAGCUCCUGCUCCGCCGCUAGCUGCUGCUCCGCCGCCCGCAACGACGUCAACUACAACGCUGGAGGUCACCGGAGGAAAUCCAGCGCCUUGCAACAAAGAGCUCAUCACCGAAGACCAACGCUGCAGUGCGUUCUUCAUUCUGUUCCACGAGACUCUGGACCAGACCACCGCGAGCAGACAGCUGGACUUCAUGUGCUCUUGGUGAAAUGACCACGUCCAGUCAGGAUCCUAUGGAGCUCAUGGGCCAUGACACCAGGACCUACUUCAGCACCUCAAAGAGAAUGGACCAAAUGUCAACUGGAAGUUUUUAUAUUAAUACAGUUUGAAAAGGAUUGUUUUCCUAGUAUAUUCACAAAAGCUCAGCAGUAGACAUGAACCUGUGCACAAACAUCCAUCACAUAGAGACAUGAGAACUCACACUCACCCACACACACAUACAUUCUAUUAUGUAAAUGAAUUUGCAUUUUAAAAGCAGCUGGAAAUGUUAUUUGUUAUUUUAUGGAUUUUUUUUGUUCAAAAGGAACUAUGUUGCAUGUAUUUUCUAAAUAUAUUUACUUAAUUUUAGAGACAUUUGUUCAUGGGACUUAAAUGUUCUGAAAAUAAAUUAAUAAAUAUAAUUUACAACA